GAAGAGAGAGUUCAAGAGUACGUGAAACCGUCUGGGAGUAAACGGGUGGUUCCCGAAAGUGCGAAAGGGGAGAUUCAGGUCUCGCCGCGCGUCGGGCCGCUCCCGCGUCAAGGGAUGGCGUUUUCGCGGCCGUGGGGCGACCCACGGACCGGAGNNNGCGCCACCCCGCGGGGGUGGUCUCCCCGGCGUCGGAGUGACGCACUUCUCCCCCGGUAGAACGUCGCGAUCCGUCGGUCGCCGGCCUAAGGCCUCGGGUGGAGCCUUGUGCGGUUCGCCGCGCCAGACCCCGAGGAUCCCGGCCGGGUGCCCGACGGUACGAAGAGAGGAAGGAGUCGGCGCGCCUCUCGCAGGCGUCCGCCCCUCCGCAAGCGCCCGCGGGAGUCGGAGGUUUUCCGGGCCCGGUCCGGCCUCUGUCUUCAGCGGGGCUGUUUGCGAUGAGGAGGUGCGCUCGGAC
rnacentral:rRNA from 1 species